rnacentral:rRNA from 1 species
AGAGGUGGCAAGCGUUGUUCGGAAUUACUGGGCGUAAAGGGCGCGUAGGCGGCCCGUCAAGUCCCGUGUGAAAGCCCCCGGCUCAACCGGGGAACGGCGCGGGAAACUAGCAGGCUUGAGUUCGGGAGAGGGAAGCGGAAUUCCGGGUGUAGCGGUGAAAUGCGCAGAUAUCCGGAGGAACACCGGUGGCGAAGGCGGCUUCCUGGACCGACACUGACGCUGAGGCGCGAAAGCUAGGGGAGCAAACGGGAUUAGAUACCCCGGUAGUCCUAGCCCUAAACGAUGAGAACUGGGUGUAGGGGGUAUGAACCCCCCCUGUGCCGAAGCUAACGCAUUAAGUUCUCCGCCUGGGGAGUACGGUCGCAAGGCUGAA